UACAGAGGUCUCAAGCGUUGUUCGGAUUCAUUGGGCGUACAGGGUGCGUAGGCGGCGCGGUAAGUCGGGUGUGAAAUCUCGGAGCUUAACUCCGAAACUGCAUUCGAUACUGCCGUGCUUGAGGACUGGAGAGGAGACUGGAAUUUACGGUGUAGCGGUGAAAUGCGUAGAUAUCGUAAGGAAGACCAGUGGCGAAGGCGGGUCUCUGGACAGUUCCUGACGCUGAGGCACGAAGGCCAGGGGAGCAAACGGG
rnacentral:rRNA from 1 species